rnacentral:lncRNA from 1 species
AGCCAGGAAGAUGUCUGUCUCCCAGGCAGCUAGGAGAAGAGUCUUAAAGCUCACCUAUAAGGUGACACAUUUCCUCCAACAAGGCCACAUGUAUUCCAACAAGGCCACAUUGCCUAAUAGUGCCACUUCCUGGGCCAAGCAUAUUCAAGCCACCAGACUUGGGAAGCCAAUGCACCAGGGUCAUGAGUUCAAUGCCAGCUAUAGCUACAGAGCAAGACUCCCCGACCCUCCUGCAAAAUCCAAAAGGAGGGUUUUACAGAAGCUGAGCCAAGCCCUCUGUACCCCAAUCCUGCCCUGAGAGAUCGGGUCUCCCAGGAGAGACAGGAGUGAAGCAUUCGCAUUUUUGUCAUUCUUCUUGAGGAGGAAGAGGAAGGAAAGGAAGGAGAUGAAGGAGAAGAGGGAGAAGCUGUUGAUUAUAUUGACUUCAUAUUUGUAACUUUUCAUUUGUGAUGAUGAACUGAUUGUUUUGUAUUGAUUUGUACCUGAGAUAUGUUUUUCCAACUAGAAGAGCUCUCAACAACAUUAAACCAAUACAGCCCAGCCCAGUGCACUCUA